rnacentral:lncRNA from 1 species
GGGACACCAAGACCAGGUGCCUAGUAAGGCCCUGGGGCAGUGUAAGUUAUGUUAUGUUUACAGGAAGUCCAGUGAGCCUUUGACUACGCCCUGGCACAGAGAUGAUAUGGGACUACUUGGUGACAGGUUUACCCUUGAUGUGGCUUGUCUGUGAUGUGAUGCAUUACAUGAUAGCAUGUAUUUUUAAAUGCUUUUACUAUUCUGCUCACUGGGCU